rnacentral:rRNA from 1 species
UACAGAGGGUGCGAGCGUUAAUCGGAAUUACUGGGCGUAAAGCGUGCGUAGACGGUCAUGUGAGUCGGAUGUGAAAGCCCCGGGCUCAACCUGGGAAUUGCAUUCGAGACUGCAUGGCUUGGGUGCGGAAGAGGGAAGCGGAAUUUCCGGUGUAGCGGUGAAAUGCGUAGAUAUCGGGGAGGAACACCAGUGGCGAAGGCGGCUAUCUGGGCUGAAAACUGACGCUGAGGCGCGAAGGCUAGGGGAGCAAACAGG